CUUUCUUAAAAAUAAAUAAAUAAAUAAAAUUAUGCACGUCGGGUGCGGGUAAAAAGUGCUUCGGGUCACUUCGGGUCACUUCGGGUCGGGUACAUUUUUUUAGACCCGAGAAGACCUCUAGUGCCGAGACCUCAAAUCGAACCCAUCCGCUUGGACAGGAGAAUGACAGCAGCCUUGGGUACGUGGCACUUCUGAGCACUUAUUCUCAGGUUUCCUCCAAACUCCCAACAUGCUGGAGGUCAGCUCAGUUACCCCAGGUGAACUUGUGUUUGUAAGUUUCACACAGGCUCAGGAUCCAAGGCACUGAUCAGAAGAAUAGAUGAAGACGGAUGAACGUCAGCGUGCACAAUAGGUUGGUUAUGUAAGCUGCGGGGGAAACGGGAUCAAGGAUAAACAGGCGACUGAUGCAACGUUGGUGCUGCACACUGGCAAACAGUUUGCGCAAUGACUAACAGAGCGGAAGAACUUUCAGCUUCCGGAUAUUAUAUCACUUACAUCAAAUUAAUCCAGGAUGUAUGUGAUGAGCCACGUGAAAUCUCUGCAGAGGGAAGUGUUGCAGGUUUUUAUGUCAUACUUAUCGGCCUCCUCCACUUUGGGUGGCUACUUCAAUCCUCCGUGCUUCCUCGGGGCUUUCUUUGAAACCUGGCGCUGGAUGUGUGGCGUAAUCAACGUACAGCUGAUGACUCAAACAUUAUAAAGAACCCUGCAUGAGUUAUUCACCUAUUUGUUAAUAAGAUAUUCGAAAUUAAGUAGAAGUAGAGCAAUUUAAUAUACUGUAUAAUUAAUAUAUGAGAUCCCAUCCUCGUCACUUUGGGCAAGUCGUGGCCUAAUGGUUAGGGAGUCUGACUCGUAAUCCUAAGGUUGUGGGUUCGAGUCUCGGGCUGGCCACAACUGAGGUGCCCUUGAGCAAGGCACCGAACCCCCCAACUGCUCCCC